rnacentral:lncRNA from 1 species
UGCAGGGACCCAACGCUGAAAACGCGUUAGUUACCAGCCUCUCACAAUUCCCCUUAUCUACUCCAGGAGGAACGCAAGCUCAACACCGAAGGGCAAUCCUGCCUUAAAACGUCGCUCCCACUGGCCCAGCCGCGGCCACAACGAACGCCAGGGCCCGUGCGGGGGGCCGGGCGGCCAUUGUUGCUGCGGGUUCCUCGCUCAGACACGCACCAGGCCCCAGAGCUGGGCUCGGCCCAAGACACUGAAGAGGUAUCGCCCCGAGGCUGCGACGGAGCACCAGGCCUCAGACCGCAGAAAACACAAACCCUUCGCGGUUCGCCUCUGAGAACGCCAGGACCCUCACUCGACUACUCACCUCCGACCCCGGGUCUCCCAUGUCUCCGACGGCCGCGCUGACAGCACCACUGCUCCUGCUGUCCCUGCCGCCGCCGUCGCCACGAAUCCCCUUCCCGCCCUGCACCGCCUGGCGCUACCGGGACCCGCCCCUGCGUGAGCGCCGACGCCACCGGCGGAAAGAGACGCAAAACCUCUUCAAAGGAGGAGCGGCCCUUACUGGCCCGCUAUGCCCCCGGAGCCGCUUUCUCUCACUCCCGGGCUUCCUUCCCCGCGCCGCGCAGGAUGCUGGGAAUUGUAGUUCGGGUCCGCCCCGAGACCGCCCCUCGCCGGAGAGGAAAAGAACCAUGCGCCUAAAAGACGCCAGCUGCAGUGGGUGGGGCGAAGCCAGGGGCCAGCUGGGUCCUGUGAGAUAGCGAAGCACUGGGAAGAUGUGGGAGGAUGUGAAGGAGGGUUUGAGUUGGUAUUUGUUUGGUUUUGGUAUGGUUGUGAAGCGCAGCUCAUUGAUUUUUCUGUUUUAGCCCUGAAGGUGGGUGGUGGGAACGGAUUUCUCUUUUUUUCCUUUCAUUUUUAAAUUUAUGUAUUUACUCAUUUUUGAGGACAGGGGCUAUGUGGAGGUUUAGCUGAAUCCUAGGAUCAGGAAAGAAUCUGAAGUAUCCUUACAUUACACACCUCUUCCCUAGCGUCAGUCUCCCAGGCCCUGCCAGUAUUAAUACACCUGAGGAAGAAAAUAGGGAUGGGAAAUCCAGGGCCCAAUAGGAAAGGGAACCGAGGUCUACCUAACUAUCACUAAACCCUAGCCAGUGAUUUUGAAAUGCACUUUUUCAAUAUUCUCAGAUAUACUGAGAGAAUAUGAGAGAUCUAUUUAUAGACUGCUGUAAGGUUGACCUUUUAACCUUUUGUGUGUUCACACUCAUAAACCAGUCUAUAAAAUAGAUCUUUUAUAUUCAACUAUGCAUUUAAUCUGUUCUCAGGUAAUACCUUACCAAAAAUUUAAAAAGGUUUUUUAAAAAAACACACCAAUCGUUGUCAAUAAAGUUUAUGAAAAGAAUUAAGUGAUAACAUUAUUUUAGGCCAGGCGGGUCCUCACACUCUGGGAGGCCGAGGCGGGCGGUUCACUUAAACCCAGGAAUUCGAGACCAGCCUGAGCAAUAAGAGGGAACCUCGUCUCUACAAAAAAUACAAAAAUUAGCUAGGCGUAGUGGUCCUUGCCUGUAGUCCCAGCUACUCAGGAGGUUUAGGUAGGAGAAUCGCUUGAGGCCGAGAGAUUGAGAUCCAGGCUGCAGGGAGCCAAAUUCAUGCCACUGCACUGCAGCCUGGGUGACAGAGCAAGACACUGUCUCAAAAAAAAAAAAAAAAAAACACAAAUUAUUUAACAUCUCAGAUUCCUGUUUUUGUUUGUAUGCAAAACUACCAUCUGAUUGCCUAAGCCUGUAGUAAUUAUUGUUUAAUAUUUGACAUUUCCUGCAUUUCCACCAAGUGCUUUAUGACUUUAGUUACUUUCUACCUAGUAAGUUUGAGACUUGUGGAAGCCAAUUGAGAAUGACAGACGUGCAUGGGGAGUUCUUCAAAAGCUGUGUGUAAAUUAAAUAUUUUUAAAACGUUAA